rnacentral:rRNA from 1 species
UACGUAGGGUGCAAGCGUUAAUCGGAAUUACUGGGCGUAAAGGGUGCGCAGGCGGUUUUGUAAGCCAGAUGUGAAAUCCCCGGGCUCAACCUGGGAAUUGCAUUUGGGACUGCAAGGCUAGAGUGUGGCAGAGGAGACUGGAAUUCCCGGUGUAGCAGUGAAAUGCGUAGAUAUCGGGAGGAAUACCGAUGGCGAAGGCAGGUCUCUGGGCUGACACUGACGCUCAUGCACGAAAGCGUGGGGAGCAAACAGG